AGUGAACGCUGGCGGUAGGCCUAACACAUGCAAGUCGAACGGCAGCACAGUAAGAGCUUGCUCUUACGGGUGGCGAGUGGCGGACGGGUGAGGAAUACAUCGGAAUCUACUUUUUCGUGGGGGAUAACGUAGGGAAACUUACGCUAAUACCGCAUACGACCUACGGGUGAAAGCAGGGGAUCUUCGGACCUUGCGCGAUUGAAUGAGCCGAUGUCGGAUUAGCUAGUUGGCGGGGUAAAGGCCCACCAAGGCGACGAUCCGUAGCUGGUCUGAGAGGAUGAUCAGCCACACUGGAACUGAGACACGGUCCAGACUCCUACGGGAGGCAGCAGUGGGGAAUAUUGGACAAUGGGCGCAAGCCUGAUCCAGCCAUACCGCGUGGGUGAAGAAGGCCUUCGGGUUGUAAAGCCCUUUUGUUGGGAAAGAAAAGCAGCAGGUUAACACCCCGCUGUUCUGACGGUACCCAAAGAAUAAGCACCGGCUAACUUCGU
rnacentral:rRNA from 1 species